rnacentral:rRNA from 1 species
AGCGAACGUUAGCGGCGGGCUUAACACAUGCAAGUCGAGGGAGAAUAGGGCUUCGGCCCUUAGUAAACCGGCGGACGGGUGCGUAACACGUGGGUAAUGUACCUAUCGGCGGGGGAUAACAAUCCGAAAGGAUUGCUAAUACCGCAUACAGUGGCGAGAACUCCGGUUCUUGUCAGCAAAGAUGGCCUCUCAGCGAAGCUAUCACCGAUAGAUCAACCCGCGUCCCAUCAGCUAGUUGGGGAGGUAACGGCUCACCAAGGCUAUGACGGGUAGCUGGUCUGAGAGGAUGAUCAGCCACACUGGAACUGAGACACGGGCCAGACUCCUACGGGAGGCAGCAGUGGGGAAUAUUGGGCAAUGGGCGCAAGCCUGACCCAGCCACGCCGCGUGAGUGAUGAAGGCCUUCGGGUCGUAAAGCUCUGUGGAGAAGGACGAACCAGCCUGUGGCUAACAUCCAUGGGCCUUGACGGUACUUCUUUUGCAAGCACCGGCUAACUCUGUGCCAGCAGCCGCAGUAACAC